CAAAGACAACAUUACUGUAUACCACACAAAGCAGAGUAAAAGGGAGAAGCUGGGAAUGGUUAUAGAAUGAGCUUUAAUAAGAAUAGGAAAGGGGUGACCCUCCUGGAUUUCCUGGAAACUGGAGACGCCAUCAACUCUGCUGCAACACAAUUUAGACUAAACUGAAGGCUCCAACUUCUAGAGUCAGGCCCACUGAAGUUCUACCAGCUAAAAUCAUUUAUGCAUACACCACAAGAACUCCUACAAGAAAUCAAGACCAGAAAUCAUACGAGUUUCAUCAAUGUUUCACCAUGGUGUUGAAUCCAUUCUCCAGAACUAUUCAAUUAGUACUCAAACUUCAUCACUAUCAGAAGUACUCAUCACCAAAGUAAAUAUAGCAUGGAAAUACUUUAUGUUCAUUGUCUGAAACUACUCUGUUACAUGCAUGAGCUAAAGGGAUUAAAGGACAUAAAGGAUGAAGGAACAUUCAGUAGGAACUACUCUGUGAAGUGACCAAAGCAUUUAAUAUUAUUUCAUUGAUAAU